rnacentral:rRNA from 2 species
CGUAACGAUCUGGGCACUGUCUCAACGAGAGACUCGGUGAAAUUAUAAUACCCGUGAAGAUGCGGGUUACCCGCGACAGGACGGAAAGACCCCAUGGAGCUUUACUGUAGCUUGAUAUUGGGUGUUUGUACAACUUGUACAGGAUAGGUAGGAGCCGUAGAAGUCGGAACGCUAGUUUCGAUGGAGGCAUUGGUGGGAUACUACCCUCGUUGUAUGAACACUCUAACCCUCGCCGGCAAUCACGGCGGGAGACAGUGUCAGGUGGGCAGUUUGACUGGGGCGGUCGCCUCCUAAAAGGUAACGGAGGCGCCCAAAGGUUCCUUCAGAAUGGUUGGAAAUCAUUCGCAGAGUGUAAAGGCAUAAAGGAGCUUGACUGCGAGACCUACAAGUCGAGCAGGGACGAAAGUCGGGCUUAGUGAUCCGGUGGUUCCGUAUGGAAGGGCCAUCGCUCAACGGAUAAAAGCUACCCUGGGGAUAACAGGCUUAUCUCCCCCAAGAGUUCACAUCGACGGGGAGGUUUGGCACCUCGAUGUCGGCUCAUCGCAUCCUGGG